UACGGGGGGAGCAUGCGUUGUUCGGAUUUACUGGGCGUAAAGGGCGCGUAGGCGGCGCAACAAGUCACUUGUGAAAUCUCCGGGCUUAACCCGGAGCGGCCAAGUGAUACUGUCGUGCUAGAGUGCGGAAGGGGCUACUGGAAUUCUCGGUGUAGCGGUGAAAUGCGUAGAUAUCGAGAGGAACACCUGCGGCGAAGGCGGGUAGCUGGGCCGACACUGACGCUGAGGCGCGAAAGCCAGGGGAGCGAACGGG
rnacentral:rRNA from 1 species